GCCAUAAUAGUUUAGUGGUUAGAAUACGUCGUUGUGGCUCAUGAGUCUCACAUUUUCCGACGUGACCCAUGUUCGAUUCAUGGUUAUGGCA
rnacentral:tRNA from 1 species